UGGGGAAUCUUGGACAAUGGGGGCAACCCUGAUCCAGCCAUGCCGCGUGAGCGAUGACGGCCUUAGGGUUGUAAAGCUCUUUCAACGGUGACGAUAAUGACGGUAGCCGUAGAAGAAGUCCCGGCUAACUCCGUGCCAGCAGCCGCGGUAAUACGGAGGGGACUAGCGUUGUUCGGAAUUACUGGGCGUAAAGCGCGCGUAGGCGGACUUUCAAGUCAGGGGUGAAAUCCCGAGGCUCAACCUCGGAACUGCCUUUGAUACUGCAAGUCUUGAGUCCGAGAGAGGUGAGUGGAAUUCCUAGUGUAGAGGUGAAAUUCGUAGAUAUUAGGAAGAACACCAGUGGCGAAGGCGGCUCACUGGCUCGGUACUGACGCUGAGGUGCGAAAGCGUGGGGAGCAAACAGGAUUAGAUACCCGCGUAGUCC
rnacentral:rRNA from 1 species